AUUGAACGCUGGCGGCAUGCCUUACACAUGCAAGUCGAACGGUAACAGGGAGCUUGCUCCGCUGACGAGUGGCGAACGGGUGAGUAAUGUAUCGGAACGUACCUUUUAGUGGGGGAUAACGUAGCGAAAGUUACGCUAAUACCGCAUAUUCUCUGAGGAGGAAAGCAGGGGACCUUCGGGCCUUGCGCUAAUAGAGCGGCUGAUAUCAGAUUAGCUAGUUGGUGAGGUAAAGGCUCACCAAGGCGACGAUCUGUAGCGGGUCUGAGAGGAUGAUCCGCCACACUGGAACUGAGACACGGUCCAGACUCCUACGGGAGGCAGCAGUGGGGAAUUUUGGACAAUGGGGGCAACCCUGAUCCAGCCAUGCCGCGUGAGUGAAGAAGGCCUUCGGGUUGUAAAGCUCUUUCGGCCGGGAAAAAAUCGCAUGGGUUAAUACCCUGUGUGGAUGAUGGUACCGGAAUAAGAAGCACCGGCUAACUACGUGCCAGCCGCCGCCGUAACAC
rnacentral:rRNA from 1 species